rnacentral:rRNA from 1 species
AGAGUUUGAUCCUGGCUCAGGACGAACGCUGGCGGCGUGCCUAAUACAUGCAAGUCGAGCGAGCUUGCCUAGAUGAUUUUAGUGCUUGCACUAAAUGAAACUAGAUACAAGCGAGCGGCGGACGGGUGAGUAACACGUGGGUAACCUGCCCAAGAGACUGGGAUAACACCUGGAAACAGAUGCUAAUACCGGAUAACAACACUAGACGCAUGUCUAGAGUUUGAAAGAUGGUUCUGCUAUCACUCUUGGAUGGACCUGCGGUGCAUUAGCUAGUUGGUAAGGUAACGGCUUACCAAGGCAAUGAUGCAUAGCCGAGUUGAGAGACUGAUCGGCCACAUUGGGACUGAGACACGGCCCAAACUCCUACGGGAGGCAGCAGUAGGGAAUCUUCCACAAUGGACGAAAGUCUGAUGGAGCAACGCCGCGUGAGUGAAGAAGGGUUUCGGCUCGUAAAGCUCUGUUGGUAGUGAAGAAAGAUAGAGGUAGUAACUGGCCUUUAUUUGACGGUAAUUACUUAGAAAGUCACGGCUAACUACGUGCCAGCAGCCGCGGUAAUACGUAGGUGGCAAGCGUUGUCCGGAUUUAUUGGGCGUAAAGCGAGUGCAGGCGGUUCAAUAAGUCUGAUGUGAAAGCCUUCGGCUCAACCGGAGAAUUGCAUCAGAAACUGUUGAACUUGAGUGCAGAAGAGGAGAGUGGAACUCCAUGUGUAGCGGUGGAAUGCGUAGAUAUAUGGAAGAACACCAGUGGCGAAGGCGGCUCUCUGGUCUGCAACUGACGCUGAGGCUCGAAAGCAUGGGUAGCGAACAAGAUUAGAUACCCUGGUAGUCCAUGCCGUAAAC